rnacentral:rRNA from 1 species
CAGUAGCCGCGGUAAUACGAAGGGUGCAAGCGUUAAUCGGAAUUACUGGGCGUAAAGCGUGCGUAGGCGGUUUGUUAAGUCUGCUGUGAAAUCCCCGGGCUUAACCUGGGAAUGGCAGUGGAUACUGGCAAGCUAGAGUGUGUCAGAGGAUGGUGGAAUUCCCGGUGUAGCGGUGAAAUGCGUAGAGAUCGGGAGGAACAUCAGUGGCGAAGGCGGCCAUCUGGGACAACACUGACGCUGAGGCACGAAAGCGUGGGGAGCAAACAGGAUUAGAUACCCCUGUAGUCCCUGUCUCUUAUAC